UACAGAGGUCUCAAGCGUUGUUCGGAUUCAUUGGGGCGUAAAGGGUGCGUAGGUGGCGCUGUAAGUCGGGUGUGAAAUUUCGGAGCUUUAACUCCGAAACUGCAUUCGAUACUGCGGUGCUUUGAGGACUGGAGAGGAGACUGGAAAUUCAUGGUGUAGCAGUGAAAAUGCGUAGAGAUCAUGAGGAAGACCAGUGGCGAAAGGCGGCAUCCUGGAC
rnacentral:rRNA from 1 species